GAAUUUUGGACAAUGGGCGCAAGCCUGAUCCAGCCAUGCCGCGUGAGUGAAGAAGGCCUUCGGGUUGUAAAGCUCUUUCGGACGGGAAGAAAUGUCGGGCUCUAACAUAGCCUGUCGAUGACGGUACCGUAAGAAGAAGCACCGGCUAACUACGUGCCAGCAGCCGCGGUAAUACGUAGGGUGCGAGCGUUAAUCGGAAUUACUGGGCGUAAAGCGUGCGCAGGCGGUUUUGUAAGACAGAUGUGAAAUCCCCGGGCUUAACCUGGGAACUGCGUUGGUGACUGCAAGGCUGGAGUACGGCAGAGGGUGGUGGAAUUCCACGUGUAGCAGUGAAAUGCGUAGAGAUGUGGAGGAACACCGAUGGCGAAGGCAGCCCCCUGGGCCUGUACUGACGCUCAUGCACGAAAGCGUGGGGAGCAAACA
rnacentral:rRNA from 1 species